AACCAAGUACUGCAUGUUUUCACUUAUAAGUGGGAGCUAAAUGAUAAGAACUAUGAACACAAUGAAGCAAAAAACAGACACUGGGGUCUACUUGAAAAGGGAGGAUAGGAGGAGGAAGAGGAGCAGAAAAGUGCCCUGUCACUAUUGUUUCUAUGGUUACACUGGGCUUCUUUGGGUUCUGCAGCUUCACCAUGCUGCUCUCAACUUUCUGACAAUUGUAUAAGCUUCGGUGUUUGCCUGGAAUACUCUUCUCUUUGCUCUUUGUCCUAAUUCUCUUUCAGGUGUCAGUUCAUGGACUGCCACUAUCCUUAUUUUAUAUUCAUAAUGUACCCUGUAACUUUCCUCUGACACACUGAAUCAUUGAUUAUUAGGUAAACAUAUCUCUUUACCUCUUGCCUGUGAGCUUUAAAG
rnacentral:lncRNA from 1 species